CUGGUAGAGAUACUGGAGUGCUAGCUUGCUAGAACUUGAAAACAGGUGCUGCACGGCUGUCGUCAGCUCGUGUCGUGAGAUGUUGGGUUAAGUCCCGCAACGAGCGCAACCCUCGUCGUUAGUUGCUAACAGUUAGGCUGAGAACUCUAACGAGACUGCCUUCGUAAGGAGGAGGAAGGUGAGGACGACGUCAAGUCAUCGUGGCCCUUACGGCCAGGGCUACACACGUGCUACAAUGGGGUGUACAGAAAGCUGCAAUAUCGCGAGAUGGAGCAAAUCUCAAAAACACCUCCCAGUUCGGAUUGUUCUCUGCAACUCGAGAACAUGAAGUUGGAAUCGCUAGUAAUCGUAGAUCAGCAUUGCUACGGUGAAUACGUUCCCGGGCCUU
rnacentral:rRNA from 1 species